GCGGGCAUAUAUCAAUUGGUUAGAUUAUCUGCCUUCCAAGCAGGAGAUAUGAGUUCAAAUCUCAUUGCCCGCA
rnacentral:tRNA from 1 species